AUUAGAUCUUAAAAGUAAUUUAAAAUUUUUGUAAAAAAUAUUUUCAUGGGUUAAAAUUUGAAAUCAUGUAAUAAUAAAGAUUUUUCACCGAUGUGAAUUUAUUUUAUCUCAAAUUGAAUUAUUUUCAACAUAGAUGAGUGAAUGUAAAUUGGUUCAUGAGUCAUUGGUUUAGUUUGGUAAUGUAUGUUAUAGUAUCGUUGGUAUCUUUAGGGUUAGAUUUGAAAUCUUAUCUUCAUUUUUUUCCUUUUUCAUAUUGACAUAUAUAUGUUUAGUAACUACCUAUCAAUUUGAUUUAAACACUUUCUAAGUUUUUUAAGUUUAAAAAGGUUUUUUUGCAUAGUUAUUUGAUUUUAGGAUCUAGAAGACUCAUAGAAAACUUAAAAAGAAGUCUUCUGACAUAUCCCGCCUAAAUCAAAGUCUUCCAUAAGUCUUACAUGAUUCUUACAUAAGUCUUCCAUGAGUCUUCCAUAAGUCUUCCAGAAGUCUUCUGGGUCGAAAAUAUUUAACCUAAUUGAAAUUUUUGUCUCCAUAUAUAAAGAAAAUUUACACAUUCUCUCUCUUCCUAUCAAAUGACUGCAACAAAAAUGUAAUGUUUCUCACUCUAAAAC
rnacentral:lncRNA from 1 species